AUGAAUAUAAAAUAUAUUGAAAUUUAAAGAUGCUGUAGACCCCAUUUUGGGCCGUCGGCGUGGGACUCUCUUUUUGGGCCACCUUUGGUUUUCUGGGACUUUUUUUAAACCACCCUGGAGGAGACACGCGGCAGGGAAAAGGUUUUUUAAUUUUUCUGGUAAGAGUUUGUUGGGGGUAGGAGGUAGUUUUCUGCAGUUGGAGGGACAAUCUCUGCAGAGGGCAGCACGCUUUGGAGGGGGUCCUUAGAGAGAGAGAGAGAGAGCAGAGGGGCUUUGUUUUCUAAGGGGUUUUGGAGAGGAGAGGGAGAGAAAUUUUGGAGGGCAGAGGAGUGGAAGAAAAAGAAGAAGAAAACUUGGGGAAGGAGAAAACCGAAAAGGGUGGGUGGGGGGAAUUGAGAGAGAUGGUGAGCUGAACUGUGAGAAAAUAUUCUUGGAGGGGGGCAGAUUCUAGUCUGGGGGACCAUUUUCCGGUGAGGAGCUGUUGGAGAGGAUCCAUUGGGUAGCUGUUUUAGAGAAAGGGGUAAGGAGGGAAGGCUGUUUUUGAGAGAGAGGGUAAGUGUGUCUUGGAGGACAAGAAAGCAGAGCAGAGGAGAAGAAGAAGCUGGGAGUUCUCGCUGGCUUUGGAGGAAGAAAGAGUGCUUGAAGAGGAGCACACCUUGCUCGGGGAGGAAACUUCCAGUUUGGCCGAAGGUGACACAUGGGAGACACCAUCCUAUGCAACCUGCAUUAAUUAAUUACAUCCAAAAAAUAUCAUACACAUAUGUUAUGUCUUAAGAAAAAGCCUAUUAAAUUACAAAAGAAAAAAAGAAAAAAAAAAGGAAAAAGAAUAGAAAUCUCACAUGUACCCAUGUUGUCAUUUUUUAAAUUAAGAAUAUUUAAAUAAGCUUUCUAAUUAAGACUAUAAACUCUUUUUUUUAAGUCAAACCGUUUUAUAAAAAUAAAAUAAAAAUCAAACCAACGAGUUAAAAAAAAGACUUUUGACUUCUUAAAAGUCAAUUCAAAUGAUUUAUUUUUUUUAAACUUUAACUAAAAGCUUAAAUUAAAGUCAAAAUUACAAUUUUUAAAAGAUUAUAUUAAUAUUAUAAAAGUUUUAUUAAACAUGAAAUAAUUUCUUUCACAAGGUAAAACAUAGUUUUUACGAGAAGUAACAUUAUCCUUACUUUAAUAUAAUUAUUGAUUUUAAUUGGAUACCUUUCCUUUUCAUGAUAAUGUUUUUCAUUUUAUUUCCAUUCGGUUAUAUUUGGUUCUUGAAAAAUAUUAGGAAAAGAAAAAAAAUUAUUAAGAAAAAUAAUUUUCUCUUAUUUGAUUUUAUUAUGAAAAAUGUAAAAAAAAGUUAAAUAUAAUUAAAAUUAUUAAAAAAUUUAUAUAUUUUUAAAUUCUCUAAUAUUUAUAUAAAAGAAUUAAAUAGGUAAAAAAAAAUUGAAGUAGUAUAUAAAAAUAAUUUAUUAAUUUUAAAUCUUUUUUAUUUUUCUUCUUCUUUUUCUCUUUAUUUUAUUUCCCUCUAUUUUCCCCCAAACUUUCCACUAACCAAACAUGGCAUUAGUAAUUGUGGAUUGGUCUCUAAUGGGAGUUGGAAUAGAGUUUUAAUUUCAACCAUCCAUUUAAACCAUUAAAAUAUCCAUCUUGAGGCUUCUCCCAAACUAUUGUUCAAGAAGGGUCACUUAUGACAUUUUUAUUCUAUUUUAUUUUUUUUAAUUUCUCUAAAACCCCAUUUUGAAAUUAUGGCUUCAAUACAAUUUAGAAACUGCAUGUUGGAAAGUAUAACUUUUCGUGAAUUAGAAAAUGCGAUUUUGAAUUUGUAUAGGAUUGGUAAUUUCAAAAUAUGAUUUUAAAUUAAUUUUAAAGUAGUUUAAAAAUAAUAAAAAAAUAUUAAUUUUCACAAUAGUUUGAAAAUAUGCCAAAAUAGGCAAAACGGUGUCUUCUUGAAAGGGACAACCACACUCUGAGUUUGACUGAGCCAACGCGGUGCUCUCACUCAGUCAGCCCUAUCCGAGUUAUUCCGGUGAGAAUCAGCUCCCAUGAAUGUUACAGUUAUCUUGUUUUACAGUGAUGAUGGUGAUACCGAUGAACUAUAAGGACCUAUUUACCAUGUUUGAUUUUAUUUAACAAAACCCAGUUGUAGAUUGGAUUUAGAACAGAGUUUUAUGCUAAUUAUUAAUAUAAUAUUUUUUAAUUUCUCUAUUU